GCGCUCGGACUGUGCACGUAAAUCGAUGCGACCAAAUAAGAGGUUUUCAAGGCCUCGAAAGCACAAAGAAAGGGAGAAUUAAACACUUGUUUAAGCCUUUUCAUCAUCAACAUGAACAGGGGCGGAACCACAAUGUCGGUUGCGGGUUCGGUCCCAGUAACUUUUGUUCAAACUCUGUAUUUGUAUUCUGAAAUCCAAUGAAUAUGUAUAAAUUAUUAAUUUAAAACCCAAUAACUUAAAAGAAUUAUACUCCCGAACACAUAAGGUUCAAAUCCUAGCUCCGCCUCUGAACAUAAAGAGCAAUCAUGUCCAUGAUUUUCGCCACUACCUCUUUUGACUCCUCUUUUUUUGAGCGUAAAGUGUUUCUCCGCAACCAAUGAUACGUCCAGCGAACUAUCAAAGCUACCACCACCACCAACAACCACCCUGUGAAAUCCCACACAUAAGGCCCAGGAAAGGUAAUGUGUACGCAGAUCAUACCCCUACCUUAUGAAGGAAGAGAGGUUGUUUCCGAUAGACGACCAUCCACACAAGAACAUGGACACAAUAAACAAAUAAUAACAAUAGCAAGGAAAUAAGACCAAAGAAGCAAAUGGCACAACGUGCAACAACAAAGAUCAAGGAAUACGAAAGCUAUCUCAAAGCUACGGGAUGCAAUGAGAUCUUUAAGAACCUCCUCCUCAAUCUCAUAGUUAACCAACUUUUGAAGAUUGAGACUAAUUUGCCAGAAUGCAAUGUACCUCAUCUACAAUGAUGCCAUGAAAUCAUGACCAAUAUUCACCUUGAUCUCAUUGUUAACCGUCUUUUGAGGACUAAACGCGAUUUUGCAGUAUGCAGCCGUCCUCAUCUUCUAGUGAAAUACUCCCUCUGUGGCUCCG
rnacentral:lncRNA from 1 species